AACGAACGCUGGCGGCAGGCUUAACACAUGCAAGUCGAGCGCCCCGCAAGGGGAGCGGCAGACGGGUGAGUAACGCGUGGGAACGUACCCUUUUCUACGGAAUAACGCAUGGAAACGUGUGCUAAUACCGUAUGUGCCCUUCGGGGGAAAGAUUUAUCGGAAAAGGAUCGGCCCGCGUUGGAUUAGGUAGUUGGUGGGGUAAUGGCCUACCAAGCCGACGAUCCAUAGCUGGUUUGAGAGGAUGAUCAGCCACACUGGGACUGAGACACGGCCCAGACUCCUACGGGAGGCAGCAGUGGGGAAUCUUAGACAAUGGGGGAAACCCUGAUCUAGCCAUGCCGCGUGAUCGAUGAAGGCCUUAGGGUUGUAAAGAUCUUUCAGUUGGGAAGAUAAUGACGGUACCAACAGAAGAAGCCCCGGCUAACUCCGUGCCAGCCGCCGCGGUAAAAC
rnacentral:rRNA from 1 species